UACAGAGGUCUCGAGCGUUAGGCGGAAUCACUGGGCUUAAAGCGUGUGUAGGUGGAUCGUUAAGUACCUUGUGAAAUCCCACGGCUUAACCGUGGAACUGCUUGGUAUACUGGCGGUCUUGAGCCACUUAGGGGCUACCGGAACAAAUGGUGGAGCGGUGAAAUGCGUAGAUAUCAUUUGGAACGCCAAUGGUGAAAACAGCUAGCUGGGGAUGUGCCGACGCUGAGACACGAAAGCCAGGGGAGCGAACGGG
rnacentral:rRNA from 1 species